AAGACUAUAGACCUGCGGAGUACCUGCGGAAGGAUCAUUAACGUAUCUAUGAUGGGGUGCGGAGCGCCCUGUUCCGGUCGAACGGCCGUGCAGCGGGUGCGCCGCCCCCGUCCCACCUCACAAACCCACUGUGAACAUUCACCGGUGGAGGGGGCUCGGUCUGCGCCGUGUCCCCGAUGCCGAAUACCCAAACUCCAGUUGCAAAGAACGUCGUGCGGACUCGGUGCCGCCUAAAACAUG
rnacentral:misc_RNA from 1 species